rnacentral:rRNA from 1 species
UACGGAGGAUCCGAGCGUUAUCCGGAUUUAUUGGGUUUAAAGGGUGCGCAGGCGGGAGAUUAAGUCGGCGGUGAAAUUUUGCAGCUCAACUGUAACAGUGCCGUUGAUACUGCCAGGCUAGGAUUUGGUUGCUGUGGGUGGAAUGUGUGGUGUAGCGGUGAAAUGCUUAGAGAUCACACAGAAUAUCGAUUGCGAAGGCAGCUCACAAAGCCAAGAUUGACGCUGAGGCACGAAAGUGUGGGGAUCAAACA